GUUUUAAUAGUUUAACAAAAAUUUUGGUUUUGUAAACCAAAGAUGAACAACCUUCUUAAAACU
rnacentral:tRNA from 1 species